rnacentral:rRNA from 1 species
GGCGGCGUGCUUACACAUGCAGUCGAACGAUGAAGCCAGCUUGCUGGGUGGAUUAGUGGCGAACGGGUGAGUAACACGUGAGUAACCUGCCCCUGACUCUGGGAUAAGCCCGGGAAACUGGGUCUAAUACCGGAUAUGACCAUGGGACGCAUGUCUUGUGGUGGAAAGAUUUAUCGGUUGGGGAUGGACUCGCGGCCUAUCAGCUUGUUUGGUGAGGUAAUUGGCUCACCAAGGCGACGACGGGUAGCCAGGCCUGAGAGGGUGACCGGCCACACUGGGACUGAGACACGGCCCAGACUCCUACGGGAGGCAAGCACUCGGGGAAUAUUGCACAAUGGGCGCAAGCCUGAUGCAGCGACGCCGCGUGAGGGAUGACGGCCUUCGGGUUGUAAACUCUUUCAGUAGGGAAGAAGCGAGAGUGACGGUACCUG